GUGGUUUGUCUUCUCCCCCAUCAUCCCAUCUUAUGGCUGUAAUUCACAGUGUCAUGUGUUAAUUGCACCCACGCAGAGUUGUUUAAGGGCAUUCUUGGCAUCAUUAUCAUGUUUUAAAUUAUGUUCUCUCUUCUGAUCUCAGUUGGCAGCUCGAUGGGGUUUAAGGAUUCUUGGGACUCCUCUAAUUGGUGGUGUGAGGCCUGUGGAGCAGCUAAUGGAACUUCAGGACUAUGCUGACUACCCCAGGGUCUUACGGUCAUUUCUGUUUCACCAGCAGAUCUGGGUGGCAGCAGAGAGCUGCAGCGCCCCCGAGUGCUGUAACGACUGCAUGGAGAGACGUGCGGGUCUUCACGGGAACAGCAAGGAACCGAAAGCUGCAUUUCCUGGGAUGCCCCGGAACCCCACUUUGCUGACUGGUAAUUGUCUGCCCAGCAGGUGGCAGCAGAGAGCUGCAGCGCCCCCGAGUGCUGUAACGACUGCACGGAGAGACGUGCGGGUCUUCACGGGAACAGCAAGGAACCGAAAGCUGCAUUUCCUGGGAUGCCCCGGAACCCCACUUUGCUGACUGGUAAUUGUCUGCCCAGCAGGUGGCAGCAGAGAGCUGCAGCGCCCCCGAGUGCUGUAACGACUGCACGGAGAGACGUGCGGGUCUUCACGGGAACAGCAAGGAACCGAAAGCUGCAUUUCCUGGGAUGCCCCGGAACCCCACUUUGCUGACUGGUAAUUGUCUGCCCAGCAGGCAGGUCUUCAGUGAAGAUAUUGGACAGAACAGGCCUGAAGAACACUCAGGAUGGCAUACCAGC
ensembl:lncRNA